UGUGUCAAUUCACCUAUUCAUGGGUUUUGGCCUGUUGUAUAAUUAAUAAUAAUAUGUAUAAAUAAAUAAAUGAAAUUAAGUACAAGACAGAAGCAGAAAAUUUUCCCAAGAUUUUGACAACUGAGAGGAUUUAAGUUUGGAUAAAACGUUUAUAGCGCGUUUAUUUCUGUUGCUUUGUUUUUCAACUUGCUUUAAGCAGGAAGUUCAAGGAGGCUUUCACACUAAGCUUUUUGGUCUGCACCAUCAUGUGGCAUUGUCCGAAUACGCAAUCAUCUUUAGAAAACACGGUCACAGUUUCAGUGUUUGUUUGUUUUUAUCGGCUCCAUAUUUUCUAAAAAUACAUUUCUUGAUGUUUUGAAGGUGCAAAGGUACCCUAAUUGACUUUUUUUUCAACCAUUUUUUUUCUUUAAUAAAAAAGUUCCCAGUGGUGUUUAUAUUAUUGUUAUGUAGUUUUUAUCCCAAAAGGCCAUAUUUCAUGUUUAUCUGAAGCACCGUUCUGCAAGCUUGGUUUUACAUAAGUGAAGGGCUUAGCACAAGGGGAGGGGCACAAAUGACAGUGACUGACAGUCUCUAUUCUUCAAAGCUUCUCUUUAGCGAUAAAGAAACUGUAAAUAAAACUGGCAUAGUUUUGGUUCCAAAUGAACACUUUUUAUGUGUUUCAAUAUUGAGUCAAUGGUACAGACGCGAUCUGAGGUCUUAUGGCGCGAAUUGUGCAGCAAAUGCGGCGCAAAGGUCUGGCAGCAGCGCAGUUUAAAGCAGCGCAGCAACAUUUGGUACCCGUCUGGACCAAAUCGCCCAACAGUUCCCGUCUCGACAAGCAGUACCUGUUAGAACCAAAGGCGGGCACACCUUAAGACGUCUGGCGCAGGGUGGGUUGAGCUGGAGGGAUCUCGAACAAUAGCUCCGCUCCCGGGAGGCGAGCUGUGGAGACCCUGUUGCUUUAAAAGUAAAGCUGCUUUUUCUUUGUGGGUUAUUUGGGUCUCUCAUUGAGUAUAAUGUGAAAUUUCUCAUUGAAAUACACCAUUGAAUUUCACAAUAAUUGCGUAAAAUGGCUUUAGUAUGAAUCAAAGGCUUUUAAACAAAUUAAUGAAAUUAUGAGCCUCUCUCCGUUUCUUUCACAAAAACCCAUCAUCAUCAGGCAUGAGUGGUCUUCCAUGAGGAGUGCCUCCCAUGGGAGGCAGAACAACCCUCACCCUCCUGGAAUGGUAGAGGACAAAGAUGCCCAACAGGAAUAUGCCCCACCGAGAAGGGGGGUGGGACCUCCUCUCACCACCUGCUCUACAUGCCCUCAGGUAAUGUGACGGAGUGACCAGGAGCCGGAACUGCUGCUGUGGAUACGAUUUAAAACCGAACAGUUGGAUGUUUAUUUUAUGGUUGUACUUUUUGUUAAAACCUUGGACACGAUUUCCAGUGCUCCGAUAGCUCUUUAGCAUGGCACCAUAAAGGUGAGGAGUAAGAAAAGCUCAUUCUCUUUCAUGCAACAGCUCCUUUGUUUCAACAUUUAAGGACCUAUGAAGGUAACGGUGGUGCCGCUGCUGCUCAAGUCUUUGGAUUUUUGUCAAAAGCAAACUUAAAGAAGAUGGAGCAACAUUUGGGAAACAACACAGCAAUAUUGACAUGAUUGAUGUCAUGAUAAUUGAUAGUCUAUGUCAAAGUGUGCACUAGCUGCAAAUUGUUGUUGCACAUUAUUAAAAACAUCCAAUCUUAAUUAAUUAAACCAAACAUCAUCUGACGAAUUAGCCAGCCGACACAUUUGUGGUGCAUAUUAAUGAUUUUUGACAACAAACAUUGCUUUUAUAGCUAUAUGGUUUAUUUCUUUAUUUUUUGGUUUAUCAAUGUUACUAAAGUGUAAUGCCAGAUUAUCUUUCAUGAUGAGGAAAUAAAGAAAAAAACAGGGGGAAGUCAAUGCACAUGGACGUCAAUGGGAGAUUCUCAAAUAAGCUCCCAGUGGUCAUUUUGGGAACUGUAAGGCAGGGUACUUCCGGGUUUGAGACCCGGUCCCGGGAACGGAAGUGGGGGUCUUGGUGGAAACGAAGACGCAAAGAGGCGGAGGAACUCAGAGAAGAGGAUGAGUCCACGGAGCACAAAGGAACAGAGAGAGAGGAAACACAAAGGAGGAAGCCAAGGACGGGAAAAGGAGGAAGCAGAGAGAGGCCGACGGACGCAGAAAAAGCCGGCAGACAUGACAGAAACGGACCGACUUCACUGCCUGCUUCCCGUUCUUUUCUAAGGUAAGAUUGGACUGCCGCCGGCAAGGGCUGUCAGGUAAUAAGUGAUCGAGGUCGAAGAGGUCGAGCGCCGUGGAGUGGUAACUAAUGCCCCUGCUGGUGUGGGGAAUCAUGAGAUUGAUUAGAAAAACUUUUACUAUAAAAACAUGAAUAUUUUUGUUAAACAA